UGAAUAAUAUAUAUGAGAGAGAGAGAGAGAAAUUAUAUAUAUAUGUAUAUAUAUAUGUAUAUAUAUAUAUAUAUAUAUAUAUAUAUAUUUCUCUCUCUCUCUCUCUCAUAUAUAUUAUUCC
rnacentral:miRNA from 1 species